AAAGACCAGUAAUGAAACACCAUUUCCAGUUGGACUUGACAUAUUUCCUGUGCCCAUAUGUUUUCAAAGUGGAGACAAGCACCUCCACCCAGCA